rnacentral:rRNA from 1 species
GACAGAGGAUGCAAGCGUUGUUCGGAAUUACUGGGCGUAAAGGGCUCGUAGGCGGCCAACUAAGUCAGACGUGAAAUCCCUCGGCUUAACCGGGGAACUGCGUCUGAUACUGGAUGGCUUGAGUUCGGGAGAGGGAUGCGGAAUUCCAGGUGUAGCGGUGAAAUGCGUAGAUAUUCGGAGGAACACCAGUGGCGAAGGCGGCUCACUGGCUCGAUACUGACGCUGAGGUGCGAAAGCGUGGGGAGCAAACAGG